rnacentral:lncRNA from 1 species
AUGAUUCAUCUCUGCCGAUUUUGCCUAGCAACCAGCCCUUCUCCCCACUCCCCGAACCAAGUCCCCCCCCAGGAAAAUUCCUCCCCCACCACACACCCGCUGAGCCCCCCCUCCCCGCCCCCCAGCAUCCUGGAGAGGAAUGCAAGGCUGCAAGAAUCCCCCCGUCUGUCUGCCACCGGCAUUUCACGCAACCUCAGAAUGUCUCGGGCUAUGUCUGGAACAAGCCGGGGGGCUGUGCCCCUGGGACUAGGACAGGAAACGGCAGCAGAAGUCCAGCAGGCGGAAAGCGCUGACCCAGCGCCGGGAGAUCAUCUCCAUUCUGAUGCCUCGCCCUCCUCUCCUGUCCAGCUCCUCAGGCCAAGAAGAGUGUCUGUGUUCAGGAAAGGAAGAAAGAAGAGACGGGGGAAAGUGAAGGAGAGGAAGGGAGGCGCUGCGAGACAAAAGCAGCCACUUCCCACUGCCCGAGGGGUGUUUCCAGCCGGUCCCCACAGCGAGGAAGAACUGUCUCAUCUUAGGAGAUGCUGGAAGGCAUGUGAUAAACUUCAAUACCCAAUUGUGACACAAAAUCUGAGCGAUCUAAGAAUAGAAAGGAAUUUCCUUAACUUGAAAAAAAAUUUACCAGAAAAUUACAGCAAACAUCGUGCCCACUGGAAAACUUUGAAAGCAUUCCCACCAAGAUCGGGAACAAGGCAGGGAUGUCCGUUACCAUCACCUCCACCUCCACCAUCACCUCUACCACCACCACCACCUCUAGCUCCAUCACCUCCACAUCACCCCCACCACCACCACCACCACUCCCACCUCCAUCUCCACCCCUAUCACCUACGCCAUCACCUCCACCACCACCACUCCCACCUCCCUCUCCACCUCUAUCACCUCUGCCAUCACCUCCACCACCACCACCACCUCCAUCUCCACCUCUAUCACCUCUGCCAUCACCUCCACCACCACCACUCCCACCUCCAUCUCCACCUCCAUCACCUCCGCCAUCACCAUCACCUUCACCUCCAUCACCUCUACCAUAACCUCCACUACCACCACCACCUCUGCCAGCACCUCCACCUCUACCUCCAUCACCUCCACCAUCACCACCACCUCUUCCACCACCACCUCCACCUCCAUCACCACCACCCAUCACGACCAUCAUGCCCGCCUCUAUCACCACCACCUGCACCACCACCACCACCACUUUGA